GAUGAACGCUGGCGGUGUGCCUAAUACAUGCAAGUCGAGCGAACAGACGAGGAGCUUACUCCUCUGACGUUAGCGGCGGACGGGUGAGUAACACGUGGAUAACCUACCUAUAAGACUGGGAUAACUUCGGGAAACCGGAGCUAAUACCGGAUAACAUGUUGAACCGCAUGGUUCAACAGUGAAAGACGGUCUUGCUGUCACUUAUAGAUGGACCCGCGUCGCAUUAGCUAGUUGGUAAGGUAACGGCUUACCAAGGCAACGAUGCGUAGCCGACCUGAGAGGGUGAUCGGCCACACUGGAACUGAGACACGGUCCAGACUCCUACGGGAGGCAGCAGUAGGGAAUCUUCCGCAAUGGGCGAAAGCCUGACGGAGCAACGCCGCGUGAGUGAAGAAGGUCUUCGGAUCGUAAAACUCUGUUAUUAGGGAAGAACAAAUGUGUAAGUAACUAUGCACGUCUUGACGGUACCUAAUCAGAAAGCCACGGCUAACUACGUG
rnacentral:rRNA from 1 species